AAAUAAAAGAAGAAACUCCGGAGAAGG
rnacentral:sRNA from 1 species